rnacentral:rRNA from 1 species
GACGAACGCUGGCGGCGUGCUUAACACAUGCAAGUCGAACGGUAAGGCCCUUCGGGGUACACGAGUGGCGAACGGGUGAGUAACACGUGGGUGAUCUGCCCUGCACUUCGGGAUAAGCCUGGGAAACUGGGUCUAAUACCGGAUAGGACCACUGCCUGCAUGGGUGGUGGUGGAAAGCUUUUGCGGUGUGGGAUGGGCCCGCGGCCUAUCAGCUUGUUGGUGGGGUGAUGGCCUACCCAGGCGAGGAGGGGUAGCCGGGCUGAGAGGGUGACCGGCCACGCUGGGACGGAGAGACGGCCCAGACUCCUACGGGAGGGAGGAGUGGGGAAUAUUGCACAAUGGGCGGAAGCCUGAUGCAGCGACGCCGCGGGGGGGAUAACGGCCUUCGGGUUGUAAACCUCUUUCAGCACCGACGAAGCGCAAGUGACGGUAGGUGCAGAAGAAGGACCGGCCAACUACGUGCCAGCAGCCGCCGUAA